UACGAAGGGGGGCUAGCGUUGCUCGGAAUCACUGGGCGUAAAGGGUGCGUAGGCGGGUCUUUAAGUCAGGGGUGAAAUCCUGGAGCUCAACUCCAGAACUGCCUUUGAUACUGAGGAUCUUGAGUUCGGGAGAGGUGAGUGGAACUGCGAGUGUAGAGGUGAAAUUCGUAGAUAUUCGCAAGAACACCAGUGGCGAAGGCGGCUCACUGGCCCGAUACUGACGCUGAGGCACGAAAGCGUGGGGAGCAACAGG
rnacentral:rRNA from 1 species